GACGAACGCUGGCGGCGUGCUUAACACAUGCAAGUCGAACGGAAAGGCCCUGCUUUUGUGGGGUGCUCGAGUGGCGAACGGGUGAGUAACACGUGAGUAACCUGCCCUUGACUUUGGGAUAACUUCAGGAAACUGGGGCUAAUACCGGAUAGGAGCUCCUGCUGCAUGGUGGGGGUUGGAAAGUUUCGGCGGUUGGGGAUGGACUCGCGGCUUAUCAGCUUGUUGGUGGGGUAGUGGCUUACCAAGGCUUUGACGGGUAGCCGGCCUGAGAGGGUGACCGGCCACAAUGGGACUGAGAUACGGCCCAGACUCCUACGGGAGGCAGCAGUGGGGAAUAUUGCACAAUGGGCGGUAGCCUGAUGCAGCAACGCCGCGUGCGGGAUGACGGCCUUCGGGUUGUAAACCGCUUUCGCCUGUGACGAAGCGUGAGUGACGGUAAUGGGUAAAGAAGCACCGGCUAACUACGUG
rnacentral:rRNA from 1 species